rnacentral:rRNA from 1 species
CCUUGACAUCCAGAGAACUUAGCAGAGAUGCUUUGGUGCCUUCGGGAACUCUGAGACAGGUGCCGCAUGGCUGUCGUCAGCUCGUGUUGUGAAAUGUUGGGUUAAGUCCCGNAACGAGCGCAACCCUUUAUCCUUUGUUGCCAGCGGUUCGGCCGGGAACUCAAAGGAGACUGCCGGUGAUAAACCGGAGGAAGGUGGGGAUGACGUCAAGUCAUCAUGGCCCUUACGGCCAGGGCUACACACGUGCUACAAUGGCGCAUACAAAGAGAAGCGACCUCGCGAGAGCAAGCGGACCUCAUAAAGUGCGUCGUAGUCCGGAUUGGAGUCUGCAACUCGACUCCAUGAAGUCGGAAUCGCUAGUAAUCGUAGAUCAGAAUGCUACGGUGAAUACGUUCCCGGGCCUUGUACACACCGCCCGUCACACCAUGGGAGUGGGUUGCAAAAGAAGUAGGUAGCUUAACCUUCGGGAGGGCGCUUACCACUUUGUGAUUCAUGACUGGGGUGAAGUCGUAACAAGGUAAGCGUAGCGAG